AACACGUGGGCAACCUGCCCUGAAGUGGGGGAUAACAUCUGGAAACAGGUGCUAAUACCGCAUAACAACGAAAACCACAUGGUUUCGUUUCAAAGAUGGUUUCGGCUAUCACUUCAGGAUGGGCCCGCGGUGCAUUAGCUAGUUGGUAAGGUAACGGCUUACCAAGGCAAUGAUGCAUAGCCGAGUUGAGAGACUGAUCGGCCACGAUGGAACUGAGACACGGUCCAUACUCCUACGGGAGGCAGCAGCG
rnacentral:rRNA from 1 species